GCUUUCUUUGCCUCAGUCAGUAGAGCAUGGAGUUUGCGGCACCCGAGGUCAUGGGUUCAAUUCCCACCAUAACGCA